rnacentral:rRNA from 1 species
GAUGAACGCUGGCGGCGUGCCUAAUACAUGCAAGUCGAGCAAACGGACGAGAAGCUUGCUUCUCUGAUGUUAGCGGCGGACGGGUGAGUAACACGUGGAUAACCUACCUAUAAGACUGGGAUAACUUCGGGAAACCGGAGCUAAUACCGGAUAAUAUUUUGAACCGCAUGGUUCAAAAGUAAAAGACGGUCUUGCUGUCACUUAUAGAUGGAUCCGCGCUGCAUUAGCUAGUUGGUAAGGUAACGGCUUACCAAGGCAACGAUGCAUAGCCGACCUGAGAGGGUGAUCGGCCACACUGGAACUGAGACACGGUCCAGACUCCUACGGGAGGCAGCAGUAGGGAAUCUUCCGCAAUGGGCGAAAGCCUGACGGAGCAACGCCGCGUGAGUGAUGAAGGUCUUCGGAUCGUAAAACUCUGUUAUUAGGGAAGAACAUAUGUGUAAGUAACUGUGCACAUCUUGACGGUACCUAAUCAGAAAGCCACGGCUAACUACGUG